UAUACAUAACAUAACCUAUCAUUCGUAACAUAACUGUCCUUGUUAGGGAAGGUCCUAAGCGUUUGCCUCUCUCUCUGCAGUAAUGCCUUGCUCCCCAGCCUUUUCAUCAUUACCUGGACAUGGGUUUAGAAGUAAGUU